AACUCCUGACCUCAAGUGAUCCGCCCACCUCGGCCUCCCAAAGUGCUGGGAUUACAGGCAUGAGCCACCGCUCCGGGCCCUUGCACAUAUUUUUUUAUGAACACACAGGCAGCAGCACUUUGAUUACAGUAACUUACAUGGAAGUUAUUUUAAAAUGGCUUUCCCCUUCUCUUUUUCAUGUAGGCUGCAUUUUUCAUCUGCAGCACGCUUUCUCUCAAGAAUCUCAAGCACACACAAGAAACCAGAGAGUAAAAUCACUGAGGCGUGAACACAUCCAGAGACCAAGGGCGUCACUGGCAGAAAAGCUUUUAGGCGGAUCCACGGCCCGAGAGCCACCCUGCCCAGAGACGCGGUUUCCUAGGAGCAGUUCACACGCGGCUCUGCAGCACCCACAAGCGGGGCCAGGGGCUGGUUUUCAUAGUUCACAGUCUGCAGGGAUCUUAACAAAAACAUGGCCGUGGUAAAAGUGCCUAGACCAGGCUUUCGUCACAACUCAUCAUGUUACUAGGUUAGGAUAAUAAAAAGGACUGUGAACUUCACAUCUGCCAUCUAUAAUAGAUUCUUAUUGUAGCAAUCUUGCACCAAGGGGAUUUCUUUAUUAACUCUGCCAAAUUUUCCAAAAUUACCAAAUGGAGAAAAGAGCUGGUCCCAUCUGUCACCAGGCACAACCAGGAAGUGUCAGAAGACUUUCAGAAGCACAUGCAGUUGCAGCUCCAGUGUUUCAACAGUUGCCCAUUUCCAAGGCCUCCUAAAUACGUAUGAGGCCUGUGGACAACUUUCUCCUCAGCUGUUACAGAACCUGGACAACUUGUAGUGAAGACCUUCCACACCAGUAACAUAUUUUGGUGAGCCAGUCGGGAGUUGGCUAGAUUAGUUCCCCAGUCUGUCUUCUCGCCACUCUGGAUGUCCACAUGAGAGGACCCAAGAGACUGUUUUGUUCAUCUACUAAUGUGAUCUAAGGGGACAGUCAUGAACAGAAAGACUGCGAGUUCCCAAAGGGGCUACUGUGGACAGAUAACCCCGUGCUCAGCACUCAGAUCACUGGUGAGUGCCACUGGGCACCUGCGCACCUCACUGCAAACACUAAGGACAGGAUUCAUGUUUGUUUCUAAUUUGAUGAAUACUGUACAACACCCACAUGCUUUUCUCUGCAAAGAAAAGAAUAACACGUAAGGUUGCCUAAAGAAUAUUAAAAUAGUAAGUCAAUAUUACCUAGAAAAAAUAUUUUCAAAAAAGGAAGUGGUCAAUGUUAACCAGAUUUAAAAUUAGGUACAAAGA
rnacentral:lncRNA from 1 species